CUAAUCCUCCCUGGAGGAAUGCCUGUUGGUGUGAAUGGGAUAAACCGAUGGGCAGUGAACUGUGGAUGAUACAAAUGAAAAGCAAAGAUAUUGCUUGGCUGGAGAACUGCAUUGCAAAACUCUGAGAAGUGCACAUUUCGAAGGACAGCCAUCACCACUUUUUGAGGACACAAAUUCCAGAGUUUAACUAUGUGCUAUGCUUCAGAAAUGAACUUUUGAUCAAUGCAGAUGUGACAGCUUCAAUACCACACCAGCUUUUUUCUCACCUCCCCCCUCCCACUUUUCUUAACGUCCAGCCCGAUGAAGAGUUCUGGAGGACUCAAAAGCUUGCUUACUGCUUUGUGGCACUUUGGUUGACUGGUGAAAUACGAGAGGCCCCAUCCAUGUUGGCAUUUUGCCGGCUUUUGAAGAUGCACCUGUUUACACGGGCAUUCCCUUGGUCUCUUAACCUCAGUCCCCUGUUUUAAUUCCUGCCUUAUUUCAAUGGAAUUGUUUGAUUGCAUAUUUUGAUUAUGGAUGCUUGUGUUUUAAUGAUUAAAUGGGAUUGUUCCCUGGAAA